rnacentral:rRNA from 1 species
UACGUAGGGCGCAAGCGUUGUUCGGAUUCACUGGGCGUAAAGGGUGCGUAGGUGGUGAGGUAAGUCGGAUGUGAAAGCUCGGAGCUCAACUCCGAAAUGGCAUUGGAAACUACCUUGCUAGAGGGUUGGAGGGGGGACUGGAAUGCUUGGUGUAGCAGUGAAAUGCGUAGAUAUCAAGCGGAACACCAGUGGCGAAGGCGAGUCCCUGGACAACUCCUGACACUGAGGCACGAAAGCUAGGGGAGCAAACAGG